UGGAACUCCGAUGACAUCUGAGGCUGCAGAAAUUAUGGUAUGGUCGGGUUAGAUUUCAAGGAUCUGGUGUUAACACGACCCAAUAUUUUGGAUCCACCUCGCACUAAUACAUGCCUUCCAGGAGUCAAAGUCAAGCUGAAGUUCAGAAGCUAAAAGAUCAGAUAGUUCAGAUACAAGCUAGCACAGAUGAGCAAAUUUCUCAACUUAGAGCGAAGGCAGCAGCGAGGGAGGCGGAGGCAGCAGAGAGGGAGGCGGAGCAGAACAGAAAAUACAAUGAACUCCAGCUAUAGCUUCAGUCUAUGAUGACUAUGUUCCAGCAAUUUCAAAAUCCGCUAUCUUAGACAUUUGUUCUCUUGUAACUUUUAACAUUAUUGUAAGAAUAUUUUGAAUAUUCAUUUACAAUUUAUAUAAUAUAUUUCUCGUAUAA